rnacentral:lncRNA from 1 species
ACGGUUCUCUAAACCAGCUCGCGAUGGAGUAAGAGUCUGAGCGUCUUCCGCGUUGGAGGUUUUGCUUGACUUCCCAAUGCUGAAGCUGAGCCGGCGAAACGGCGAAAUGCUCCUUGCUCUUUCUGAUACAACUUUAACUGGCUUCUGAUCUGAUAGCUUGGGGAGUGUCUCUGUUGACCUUCUGUCUAAAGUCCUGCUCCUGGAGGGACUGGAUUCAGACUUUCUCGACCGCGGAGCCGAGCUUGAUCUAUUCUUCUCUGCGCUCAAGAAGUUGAGACGCUUCAAGAACGGCUUACUUCCAUCAGCAGCUUCACGUCGGAAGUGGUUCUCUAAACCAGCUCGCGAUGGAGUAAGAGUCUGAGCGUCUUCCGGGUUGGAGUGUUUGCUUGACUUCCCAAUGCUGAAGCUGAGACGGCGAAACGGUGAAAUGCUCCUUGCUCUUUCUGCCACAACUUUAACUGGUUUCUGAUCUGAUAGCUUAGGGAGCGUCUCUGUUGACCUUCUGUCUAAAGUCCUGCUCCUGGA